rnacentral:rRNA from 1 species
UACGAAGGGGGGCUAGCGUUGCUCGGAAUCACUGGGCGUAAAGCGCACGUAGGCGGAUUGUUAAGUCAGGGGUGAAAUCCCAGAGCUCAACUCUGGAACUGCCUUUGAUACUGGGUAUCUUGAGUAUGGAAGAGGUAAGUGGAAUUGCGAGUGUAGAGGUGAAAUUCGUAGAUAUUCGCAAGAACACCAGUGGCGAAGGCGGCUCACUGGCCCGAUACUGACGCUGAGGUGCGAAAGCGUGGGGAGCAAACAGG